rnacentral:rRNA from 1 species
UACGAACUGUGCAAACGUUAUUCGGAAUCACUGGGCUUACAGGGUGCGUAGGCGGUCUGUUAAGUAGGGUGUGAAAGCCCCCGGCUCAACCGGGGAAUUGCGCCCUAAACUGGCGGACUGGAGUGAGAUAGGGGUGUGCGGAACUUCCGGUGGAGCGGUGAAAUGUGUUGAUAUCAGGAGGAAUACCGAUGGCGAAGGCAGGUCUCUGGGACGGUACUGACGCUGAGACGCGAAAGCGUGGGGAGCGAACAGG